rnacentral:lncRNA from 1 species
AUAACCAACUCACGUUCCCUCGGCACAAUCUGAUACAAAAACAUGAAAUAUGGGUCCACCGUCAACCUCAACGGCACCCGACAGUCUGGAACAUCCUAAACACUGCUGUAAAAAUAAGCUCGGCAUCCCAGUACGAGCGUAACUGUAUUCUACACUAUUCUGGGUAUCCACCGGCCACAAACUACGGCGAUACAAACAAACUACGGCUUC